GCCAGUCAGGGAGAACAGGUGAUUUUAAAAAGUAGAACUUUGCAGUUCAACUGUCAGAUGGGGAUCAGUUAGGGCUUGGAAAAGCAUGGGGAACAUGAGGAGAAAGGGACCUUUCCUGACAGGAAUUAGGGUUAGCUAGCCAGGGCAACCCAGUUUAAUUCACUUAGGGAAAAGUAAAAAUAUUAGAAAGGACUGGGAAAGUGUUGCUGGUAUAGUAAUACUAAUAGCCAUGCUAGGUGGAAAUAGUUUAUCCUGAGGCUAAAUUCAAAAUGUAAAGUGUGUUUGCCUGAAACUAAGUAUUGUGCCUCUCAUUUGUAACCAUCAAGCUUAAACCCCUCAUUGAGUGUAAUUAAAUAAAAAGUCUAAUUUUGUCCCAGAAGUGCCUCUUCAUCCUUCAAACCUCUGGGUGAGAGGAUAAGUGGACACAUGGCAUUAUUCACAUACGUAAAACACCUUGCUGCAGAAUAAUAAAGAAAAACCACCACAAACAGUUGAAGCAGACCUCUCUAGUGUUGUUAACUGUUAUUUUUAAGCACCCAGAAAUUCAGUCACACUACCCAGCUCCCAUCUUUAGUGCUGCAGGCUUUCUUUGUUCUUUUGCUAAAGCACUUGAUUGAACAUGAAUCCAUAACAAGGGAUUGGGUAAACAUUUGAUUCAUUUCUCAUUGAAAGGUGUACCUACCUAAUUCACACUUUCUUGAAAAAUAGACAAACUGAAACAAGGCCAUCCUUUGAAACUGGCACAUCUUUGAAUUAUGCAGUGGAGUUCUCUGGUCAAGUAAUGUGCACAAAUGUGCAUAUAUUUAUUAUGGUAAAAUGUGUAUUAAAUGCAUUUAUUAUUGAAAACGACAUGCAUAAUCCAUUAGGAAAAUUGCCUAGUAAAAACAUGUGUCUUAAGCCAAAUUGCAUGCAAAUGUGUGGCUAUUAUGAGAAAUUUGCACUAAAAUACUUAUGAAUUUCCAUGAGUCCUUUUUUUAAAAAAAGAAUUUGAUGUGGAGAACUGAAUUUAAGAUUGGAAAAAUGAGAAAUGGAGAGAAACAGAAAACGGACAGAUUUGCUCAUUGCCAUUCAUAACUUGAUAUUUGAAUUGUAAUAAAAACACCUUGCCCAAAUGUUGCAUUUAUGAACAAUAAGGCUGCAAACCUUUGUAUGUUAACUCAGAAGUAAUCUUCUCUGGAUUUAUUUCCAAGUGAAUAUUCAUCGAAUUGGGCUGUGCACCAGAGUUUUAGCUUUUUUUUAGUGGUUUGUUUAGUGGUUCAUGUUCUUAUAUGCUUGAUUUUACAUCUCCUUCUGUAAAAUAAGUGGGCAAGCAUCAUAGUUCAGGGGUACAGCACCGCCUUUGCAGGCAGAACAUCCCAGGUUUUGUUGCUGCCAUCCCCAGGUACGGUUGGGAAUGUUCCCUGUCCAAAACCCUGGAAAGCCACUGUCAGUGUAAACUAGCCUUCACCAUCUUGGUGCCUCCAAAUGUUUUGGACUACAACUCCCAUAAGUCCCAGCCAGCACAUGUAGCAAGGGGAAGACAGCAACAAGUCAGCUGGCCCCUGUUUGUAUGUGGACCUGUGUGAGAAGCAAGUUUGCUCAACUAGAUCAUUCUCUGGAUCUGUGACAAAAGGCAUUUAAAACAAAUUUGGAAAUGAAUGACAGCAUUACAGUUCCUUAUGUAACCUUAUCUUUGCUGCCUUUUGUACAGGCAUGAUGAUAACAUCUCUAAUUACAUGUUCUUAUUUCCUAUAGGACUGGAGGAAUAAAAAAUCAAAUAUACACUGAAAAUAGGGCAUUCUAAGCCUCAUUAUAGUUGUUUGCAUCCGGCAAGUGGGAAAGGCAGUGUAAAAUCAGAGGGUCUUCUGUUGCUUUCUGUUGCUUUCAGGUCCUUCUCGCGGGCUCCCCAUUGGCAUGCUGUGAGAACAGGAUGCUGAUCUAGAUGAGCCUUUGGUCUGAUCCAACAGGACUCUUCUUAUAUCAUAUUCUUAUGUUAAUUCUCAUCCAGAUACUGAUCAGAUCUAGUCCAGCUUCGAUUUAGUAAGAUUUCUGCAUCAGGUACUUUCAGGCUAUGCCCUAGGACUAUAUCAAGCAAGAUCCCUUGCAUCUGUUUCAGACAUAGUAGUGGAACUAGAACAGGCUGAUAAUAAGUAAGUGAGGAAACUAUGUGGGCUGAACUAUAGAGGUCACCUCUAAAGCAUAGCAUUCCAAAGAACAAGAUUGGCUCCAAAAUAGCCUGCCAUUCACCAGCAAUCGCAGAGAAUGUGUAGCCUUGUUGCUAGGCACAGAUGUUGCCAUGAUGGAGUGAAGCGCGUGCAGAAUCAGUAGUAGUAACACAUGCAGCCUUGUUGCUAGGCAUAAAUGUUGCUAGGGUAAGAGAAAGGGAAGCAUAUUGUAACUGUAGUAACCUAGUAUUCGUGUACGCUUGCAGAGUGACCCAAAUGUUCUAAAACAUUUUUAAAAUCUAGGUUACGGCUGUCUGAUGAGGCAUGUUGCAUCUACAUCUCUCUACCUAUCCCAUCAAGCGUUAUUGUCAGCAUUGCAAAAUUAGACUCUUAUGUAGACAGAGAUUUCUCCUUCAGAAGUCCAUGGCUCACUGACUUCUUUUCUUUUUAAAAAAAGAUUCACUGCUAUCUAGGUCACAGCAGGUUUGAAAGACUGAAGGUAUCUGUUCUUUUUUCCCAGUUAGAGAAAAGCAUAUAUUAAGGAAGAUAAAAUUAUAUUAAGGAAGUUAAAAAUGUCAAAUACUUACAGGGACAAACAUAAUGUUAACACUUUGCACCCAUCAAAAGGCUGACACCCCAUUUUUGAACAAGGUGCUUUCAGUUCAGAAUAACUCAUUGUCUGAUUCCUCAAGGUACUGGACAACUUUCCUGGCCCGACCCAACCAUUCACGUGCGGCAGUUGGAAAAGGCGAGUCCUUACCUGAGCUUAUUUCAAUGGAAAAUGACUCAUCAUCCUUCCUGGAUUUCUUAAAUGCUGUUGAUUUUUAAAGAGCUGGGUAUGUUCUGGGUUCCAGAACUACUGCUGUUAUUAUGCCAACUGAAAAUUGGCACAAUAACUUCUGUUGAUCCUAAUGUAUCUUUACCUUUACUAGACAUAUAAGAAAUAUUUUAGCUCAGAGAGCUUUUCAAACCCUGUGGAUCCUCAAAAGUUUAUUGGGGGAGGGGGACAUCUGACUUUUCUGACAAAGUCAGUUGUGACUUUUUUGACUGCUAUGUAAAAAAGGGAGGGAAAAGUUGGCAACUCAACUAGGAGGGAACCAACACAGGUUUCCCUUCCUUGUCUCCAGUUGGCCCUCCCUCAACUUCCCCCGAAUCACCAAGGCUCUUCAUUCCCUCCAGCCUGCCACAAAUAACUGCCUCUUUCUCCUCAGCCACCAUGUCCUUUUGUGACAUCCCAGGCAGCCUGCAGCCAAUGGCAACAGCUGGAGAAGCACCAGCACAACCUCCUCUGGCCUGACCAUUGUGGGGCAACUCACUACUGAUUUAUUAUUUUUCUUUUUUGCCAGAUAAUUUUUAUUAGUUUUCCAAUUUUUUAACAAAUCAGUACCAAAUGACAUCAAAUUUAAUACAAUUUCCUCAUUGAGUUGACUUCCUGCUCUCCAUCGUCAAUGUGUUCCUGUUUAUUAUUUCUCAUCCAGCCCAUCUUUCAUGAGUACUGCUAACAUAAACUGUCUUGGAAGAAAAAGAUAGAAUGAACACUACAGCUAGAUAUAUUUAGAAAGACAUUUGUUUAGAAAUAUAAGUGAGUUUGCUUAAGUGCUACAGUUCUCUUCAUUGCUUUCCCAGUUGGUCUGAAGAAACUUCAGACAUCCUGGGGGGUGAGGGUGGGACAGAGACGAUGAGGCGGAUAGUUACCAUUCAACAGCAUCACCUAGGCACUAAGGCUGUAUGAUGUGUUGAUGCAUCAUCCAACACCAGUUUGUAGACCACAUCAUAAGAACAGUUUCAAAAUAAUUGAGCAGGCUUUGUAUUGUGAAGCACAACCUUCAAAACUCCAGGGGGUGGUAUAAUUGUGAGCCCUCUAGUGGCUGCCUUUGCUUUCAGCUCCUUUUCCCCUCCUAUAGCAGAACGGUCCCACUCCUAGCCUUGGCGCCUCCCCAUAACCACAGUGUCUCUCUCUACCUGAU